GAGGAAAAUUUUAUUCCAUUAAAUUUCCUGAGAAAAUUUCUUGGCCAAAUUAACGAGACGUUUAAGAGAAAUAAACACACGAAAAGCCGAUAAUUAAUUUAGUGACCAAGACCAUAGGGGUGCUUUUAAAGGUUCAUUUUCCCCGAAUUUGUUUCACAUAUAUAAAAUGAAAGAUAAAAAUAUUAGAUAUUCAAGAAGGUCUCAUGAGAGAAGGUUGGAAGCCAUUGGUCUGCAGCCAAUUUUGAUGAGAAGUAGAAGUGGAAUUAAAAAUCUGAUUGUGAUGAUGAGGAGAGAAUCCUGAUGAUGCUGCAGCAUUUGCCAACACUUGGUUCGUCGUGGUCCGACCAUCAAACCGGUGGUUCUCAGCCACCGGAAAUAGUGAGAAUCCUCCUCCGCCACCAAUGUUGCUGCUGCCCGGAAACUAAUUUACACCAUACAAAAAUAUACAUACUGUAUUCUGUUAGUAAAAAUAUAACCGAUUGAAAUUUAAACAAUUGUUUUAUAUCUUCUUGUGUGUUUUUACUCACUUGGAGAUUUGAAUUUGGGAUAUGGUUAACCAUUCCGGUUUGACCUAAUCCAAGAAUCUCAUUAGGAUGAAGAGAAUCUUGUUGGUUCAUCUAAUAAAAAGAAAAAAAUGUUUAUAACAAACGAAGAUAUUUAAGGUAGAAACUAUAGUAUAUAAUUUAAUAAACACUUUACCUUGAGCCGCAUAUCUUGACCCUUUUGCUUCGAAUUAACCGAGUUUCCCAAACUCAAAUCGAGGUUAUGAUCUUGUUGAAUAGGAUUCCCUGAUGACUCUACACAAAUUUAAAAAGAAAAUCUUGAAACCAAGUUCUUACCCAUAAAUAUACGAUUAAAAACUCAAAAGAGAUUUUGAAAUAAAAAUUACCGGCAUUCAAUUCGUCGUCGUAUAGGAAACUAAUUUACACCAUACAAAAAUAUACAUACUGUAUUCUGUUAGUAAAAAUAUAACCGAUUGAAAUUUAAACAAUUGUUUUAUAUCUUCUUGUGUGUUUUUACUCACUUGGAGAUUUGAAUUUGGGAUAUGGUUAACCAUUCCGGUUUGACCUAAUCCAAGAAUCUCAUUAGGAUGAAGAGAAUCUUGUUGGUUCAUCUAAUAAAAAGAAAAAAAUGUUUAUAACAAACGAAGAUAUUUAAGGUAGAAACUAUAGUAUAUAAUUUAAUAAACACUUUACCUUGAGCCGCAUAUCUUGACCCUUUUGCUUCGAAUUAACCGAGUUUCCCAAACUCAAAUCGAGGUUAUGAUCUUGUUGAAUAGGAUUCCCUGAUGACUCUACACAAAUUUAAAAAGAAAAUCUUGAAACCAAGUUCUUACCCAUAAAUAUACGAUUAAAAACUCAAAAGAGAUUUUGAAAUAAAAAUUACCGGCAUUCAAUUCGUCGUCGUAUAUGCUUGGAUCAAAGUUAGUCACAGCGUCUUUGCCAUUACAUUUGAUUGCAGCUUUAUCGUAAGCUCUGUGGUCAUUAAAAAAUAAAAUAAAAACAUUAUACGAGAUUAAAGCUUUCUAACAAUGUGUGUUGUGGAAUCAAUCAUAAAGACAUUUACCUAGCAGCUUCAACCUCGGUGUCGAACAAACCCAAAUAAACAUACCUAAUAUGAAAAGUUAAAGCAUCAAAACUCAAGUUACAAUAACAAAUCUAUUAGAAAAAUAAAGAAUGAAUGAAUGAAAGUACUUUUUGCCUAAGAAUUGACCCAUUCGAGCUUCCCAACGACCACACUUAUGCAAAGUGACACCUCUAUACUUUGAACUGCCUCGAGGGAAGCCUGUGCUUUGUCGGCGAAGUACGUGCACGAACUCUUCCUUCGUUAAAUUCGUCAUCUGCUAAAUUACGUUUUAAUCAAUAUAAUAACCUAUUCAUAUUGUUUAGUAUUUUAUUUGUUUUGUUUUAGGAGUUACCUGCUUCAAGUCAUCAUCAUAAUCUUCAAUGGUAAAGUUGAUAUCAGCUUCUACUCCACGAAAUUUAAUAGCAGCUCGAUCAUAUGCUCUACAUAAAAGAAAAUAAAAGACUUUAUAUUAUAGGUCUUGUGCCUUUUGUUUUUUUUCUAGCUUUAAUUAAUUUGUUUCGUUUAAAAGUAAAAUAUAAAUUAAAAAUGUAAAAAUCUAAGUGGCUAAAUUUAUCUUUUCUUAAUAUGUGUAUGAUCUUUAAACAUCAAUCUUCUGCACGUACAGGGAAUAUAUAUUAUUAUGUGAAAAAGGGAACAUAUUGUUCUUAAAUUUAUAACAAUUGCGGCUCCACCGAUUUGAAAAAGAAAUUCAAAAAAUUCCAUUCCAUUUUGUAUCAUUCUAUCAGGUAAGUUAGAAUAUAAUUCUAAUAUGAAAACUGUAAUUCUCUGUUUUAGUAUAUAAUAAAAAUACCGUAACUAGAUACAUAUUAAAACUUUACACCAGCUAAAAUUGGAUAUAUCAAAUGUUUAAUACUGUAACCAUAUUUUUUGUCAUAUUUUACCAUUCUAUUUUUCUUAAAAAUAUGGUUUAGUCCGAUGUAAAGGACCAUCGUAUAAUCCGGUGUAAACCCAAAGUUACAUUGGUUAAAGUUAACCUGGUAUUAACAAAAAGGCAGAUGUACUUACUUACAUAUAGAAAUAUCUUACUAUAUGACCAGAAACAUGAACCUAGAUUUUAAGGAGGAACAAAUUACACAGGAUAAAUAUGAAAUCUAGGAAAGCUUUCAUGAAUAAACGGAGUAACAUUUUAUAAGAAAUUAAAAGAGGAGAAAGGAAGUGAAGCCGAGAAGUCUCUUUCACCAUUAUAACAAUGUCUGACUUCUUUUGGGUUUCUGUGUGAGGGAGAGAGAGAAACUGAUUCAAAGGACACAUUACUUGAGAAUGACCAUUCAUCCCUAAUAAAACCCAAUUUUAAUUUGCCUCUCUUCUCUUUAUGACACACUUAUAUUUCCAAGAUUAUUUUUCUUCGUAUGAGUAUUAAUUAGUCAUGGAAUAUUAAUGUUUUUUUCAAACUAUCUAGUAGUAUUAUAUAACUUAGAAUAUUUUUUUAACUCAUUUCUAUAUUAAGGAAAAUAAUAUUUUUCUACUUUCACUCUAAAUGUAGAUAAAUGUUAUUUUAGAAAAUACAUUGUAUUUUUUAUUAUAGUUAUUCUAUAUUUACAAAAUAGUAAAAUACAUUACAAAUGUUUUUAUAAUAUAACUCCUCUGAAAAAGAAGAAAGAUCUUGGUGUUGACAUUCUUUUUUUUUUGUCACUAGGUGUUGACAUUCAUAUAAACUUUUUUAUGAGAUCGUAAAAUAACUGCAGGAUUUUUUUUCUUACUCCAUUAGGGAAACAUCAGUACCAAUCUACUUCUGUUUCUCUCUCUCGUCUCACCAUUAAUGCUGUAAAGAUAAAUAUAACCGUUUUUCUGUCGGUAAAAUAUCUAUAGCAUUAUUUAAAACUCUGUUAGAUAGUACUACUAUACAUCUUUUUCGUAUUAUUCACGUUAUAAAAGUUCUUAAGUUUUUUUAUUUUAAGAAUUUAUUCAAUGAUGUGUGCUAUAGUCUUGACGAAAGAUAACAAAUGUCAAAUGGAAUUCCAAAACAUAUUUUGACUAAAACCAAAUGUUUUUUAACAUAUACAUGAUUAUUAUUUUCGUAAUUUCUUAUAGUUUAUUGACGAGUUGGAUCCUUAUUGAAUGUGUUCAACUUCUUGGACUCUGUGGUUACAAAAGUGGAUUUAAAAGUAUCUUAGGAUUUGAUUUCUGCUGAAUCUAUUAUUAUCAAACUGCAGCAAUUAAUAGGAAAACCCACCAAGCAAGUCUUCUAAAGAAUGUAACAAAGAAAUAAACCAAAUAUUUGAAUAACUAGCUAUAUUGUGUUGAGAAAAUAUUUCAUUUAUUUUUUUAUUUUUUUAUUUUUUUAUUUUGUUGUCAUCGUUGAGAAAAUAUUUCAUACUUGUGUUAUUAUUAGGUGAAAGUGUCGUAGAAGGCAAACAAAUAUUAAAUGAAGUAAGGGUGGGAGGUAUUAAUUGAAUAUUGAUAUGAAAGAGGAAUAACAAAACAAGUUAGGACUGAAAAUAUAUGUAGAUAGGUGCAGGUAACAUAUAAAGCAGUAAAGUCUUAAAAUCUUUAAUAAAUGUAUCGAGAAGAAACAACAAAAGACAACUCAUUGACAAAUCUCCUCUCAACCUUUUUAGUCAGAACAUCUUAAACACACACAAUUGGCAAUUUCCCAAAUACCCAACGAUUAUGUGUAUGCAUAUAAAAUAUUACCCAAUGGAGGAAAAUUUUAUUCCAUUAAAUUUCCUGAGAAAAUUUCUUGGCCAAAUUAACGAGACGUUUAAGAGAAAUAAACACACGAAAAGCCGAUAAUUAAUUUAGUGACCAAGACCAUAGGGGUGCUUUUAAAGGUUCAUUUUCCCCGAAUUUGUUUCACAUAUAUAAAAUGAAAGAUAAAAAUAUUAGAUAUUCAAGAAGGUCUCAUGAGAGAAGGUUGGAAGCCAUUGGUCUGCAGCCAAUUUUGAUGAGAAGUAGAAGUGGAAUUAAAAAUCUGAUUGUGAUGAUGAGGAGAGAAUCCUGAUGAUGCUGCAGCAUUUGCCAACACUUGGUUCGUCGUGGUCCGACCAUCAAACCGGUGGUUC
rnacentral:lncRNA from 1 species